CAGGGAGAACGAGGCCCCUGAGGUCUUCCUGGACUCCGAGGUGAGGAAGGAUGCCCUGGUAUGAGGGGACCUAAGGGAGCAAGAGGAUUUUCAGGAGAGAAGGGCAACCCUGGUGAGGGAGUUGAUGGCUUGCAUGGAGAACAGGGUAAUCACGGAAUCCCAGGGUCAUCUGGAGAAAAAGGAAAUAGGGGAAAUCGGGGCUUGACGGGACUGCCAGGACAACCUGGAGAGCGUGGAGAGCCUGGGUUAAGGGGAGAUCCUGGGGAUCCUGGAACUAAUAGCUAUAUCCAAGGCCCUAAGGGAGAAAAAGGAAGGCGUGGGCGUCAGGGAAGUUCUAAUGUUGAUGGACCUCAGGGAGAAACUGGAAAUGUCGGCCCUUGGGGGACAAUAGGAAGGCGAGGUCUGCCAGGAUUAAAGGGACCAAGAGGAAGGCAAGGACCACCAGGAACUUCUGGACAAAAAGGCUUAGUGGGUGCUCAGGGGAAUCCUGGGCCUCCAGGGCCAAAUGGUUCAAAAGGAAAAGCUGGACCAAGAGGAGUGAAGGGAGAGAUUGGUGAUGUAGGAGAAAGAGGCCCACAGAGUCGACAAGGACCAAGAGGGCAACCUGGUCUUCCUGGUUCUGAUGGAUAAGGACAUCCAGGAACAAAAGGAACAAAGGGUGAACAUGGAUUCCCUGGCUAUCCUGGUGCACAAGGAGAAGAUGGUGACCCGGGCCAUCAAGGAGAAAAGGGGGCAAAGGGAAUAAGAGGGAAGAGGGGUAAUGCUGGCUUUCCUGGAUUUGUUGGAACUUCGGGUGACCAAGGCCCACCAGGACAAAUGCCUUGCAAAAUUGUUGAUUUCACACGUGAAAACUGCCAAAUAAAGUGGAUUGACAGCAUGCCAUCUCAACGAUGAAGAGAAGCUCCACUGAGCAAUACUGUGCCCCAGGAGAUGUCAUAACUGCACACCUGUGUGCCUACAUCUUGCUGCUUCUUAUCACAAAACAAAGGAGUUUGUUCAAGAGGUAUUUCCAAAUGCCCAGCAUUCCCAACUGAAGUGGCCUUUGCCUUGGACAUGUCAAAUGAUGUCUCCCUGUUGGAUUUUGAGAGGAUGAGAGACAUUUUAUUGUCUCUGUUGAUGAAGAUGGAAAUAAGUGACAGUAACUGCCCAACAGGUGCCCAUGUGGCCAUUGUUUCCUACAAUGCCAAAACCAAUUACUUGGUUCGUUUCUCAGACUACAAGGGGAAGGUUGCACUCCUGGAGGCUGUCAGGAACAUCCCCCUGGAGCAGUCAUCUGGCCGCAGGAACCUCGGGGCCACCAUGAGGUUUAUGGCGAGACGUGUUCAAACGUGUACGCUCGGGUCUUCUCAUGAGGAAGGUGGCUGUGUUCUUCCAGGCGGGCUGGGCCUAUGAUGCAGCUUCCAUCAAUACAGCCACACUGGAGCUUGCUGCAGUGGGCAUCAUCCCCGUGGUCAUCACCUUCACAGAGGGGCACAACCUCCCGGACACCCUGCUGAUGGAUGGAACCAACAGAUUUUACUUGUACGUCUGGGAGACAGAGCGCCAGCAGGAUGUGGAGCACGUGGCCCGCUGUAUUCUCUGCUAUGACAAAUGCAGACCAGACCCAGAAUGCCCGGCUGGCACGCCGGGGCCCCAGGAGGUGGACGUGGACUUGGUAUUUGUGGUGGACAGCUCCUAUGGAGUGGAUGCCGACGUGUACCGCGGGUCUUUGAGUCUAGCGGACGCCGCGCUAGAAGACCUGGAGGUGGCUGAGCAGCCGGGCGCGUCCCACCGUGGGGCGCGUGUGGCCCUGGUGACGCACACGACACCCAACUUCUGGCCGGGUGUGGGUUGCCUCCCUGUGCUCGAGGGCUUCCACUUGACCACCUAUGGCAACCGGAAGCAGAUGCAGAGACAUGUGCGCGAGGCUUCAGCCCGCCCCUUACAGGGAACCGCCCCCCCUGGGCCACGCCCUGGAGUGGACGCUGGAGAAUGUGCUCCUGGCAGCCCCUCGGCCGCGGAAGGCACAAGUCCUCUUCGCCAUCGUGGCCAGCGAGACAAGUAGCUGGGACAGGGAGAAGCUAUGGACUCUGUCCCUGGAGGCCAAAUGCAAGGGCAUUACCCUCUUUGUGCUGGCCUUGGGUCCGGGUGUGGGGACCCAUGAGCUAGCCGAGCUAGCCGAGCUGGUCAGUGCUCCCUCUGAGCAGCAUCUACUGCGCCUACAAGGGGUCUCAGAGCCAGAGGUUAACUACGCUCAGGGAUUCACUCGGGCCUUCCUGAACCUCCUAAAAAGUGGGACAAACCAGUACCCACCCCCAGAGCUCACUGAAGAAUGUGGGGGCCUACACCGUGGGGACACUGUGCUGCAAUUAGUCACACCUGUCAACAGGUUGCCCAGGCACCAGUUUGGUAUGUCUGGCUUGGCUGAUGAUUUGGAAGCACUUGAAGCAACAGGCAUUUUUCUAGAAGAGAAGAGAAAAGACAUCACAACAUCUAUAACUCAGCAAGAAGCACUUGAAAAUUAUGAAAAUAACAAAUAUGACAUUGAAGAAAAUGAACAAGAAACACCAGCAAAACAAAAAGAAACUAGAAAAGAAAUAAAUGCAGACACUACCUAUGGUAAAAACCAAACUACUUCUUGGUCCUUAAGUUGGAUUCACUUUUUUCAUUUUUAACUUUUUCUUAAAAAAAAUCCUGUGCACUGUGUUAGCAUGCAAUUUUUUAAAAUUCACUUUGCUUACAAAUCCACAGGUUCAUGUAUGCAGCUAAAGAAAAUAGUUUAAAAAGAAAGACAAAGGCUAACUUUCACCUGGCUGUCGAACUGGAGCUGGAUGAAAGUUAUUUCAGGGCGUAUUAUGAAGGCACACUCUAUGAAGUGUCUGCACUACCUUUGCAGAGAAGCAAUGAGUUAUUGCAGAAGUGGUGAAGAUACUCCUGACCUUGAAAUGCACCUACUUGGAGACAGGCUCUACAUUUUGGAUACAUCUAAAACAACUGUAGCAUCAAUUUUGGAUUACAGCAUGCAGUAAUGCAAAUGCCAAGUUCCUUUUUUUUUUUUUUUUUUUGAGACAGAGUCUCACUGUCACCCAGGCCGGAAUGCAGUGGCAUGAUCUCGGCUCAUUGCAACCUCCGCUUCCUGGGUUUAAGCGAUUCUCCUGCCUCAGCCUCCUGAGUAGCUGGGAUUACAAGAGCCCGCCACCAAGCCUGGCUAAUUUUUAUAUUUUUAGUAGAGACAGGGUUUCACCAUGUUGGCCAGGCUGGUCUUGAACUCCUCACCUCAGGUGAUUCUCCUGCCUCGGCCUCCCAAAGUGCUGGGAUUACUGGCAUGAGCCACUGCACUUGCUGCCAAGUUACUUUUUAUAUGUGAUCAGCAAAUUAAGCAGAACACUAAACACAUGAGAAAGAGAUACAGGAAAACUUCUCUGUGAAGUUCUGGAAACUGAUUCAAGAUAGCUGAAAGAGUUUCUAGUGAGUGGUGUGGUUAGUCCUGGUUACAUUAAAGGAGAGAUCAUUUAUCUGAGGUUUUGAAUGUGCCUAGAUAAUUCUCCAUCUGGGGCUACUGGCUAGGUGGCCAUGGGAGUUAUUCACUCUCUUGGUGACUCAGUUUUCUGCUCUGCAAAGUGGGGAUUAUAUGAGUCCCUACCUCAUAGGUUUGAGAAUACAACUUGAUAAUUCAUGUGUUUGCCACAUAGUAUACAUCCACACAAGUUAGUUAAGAUGCUGAUGAUACAUGCUACCUUUUAGAUUUCAAAGCAAACACAUGUCCAAAAUAAAUAACAGAAUCAGACAGACAUAGGAAUACCACCUCCUUAGGCUAGAAUAUUAAACAUAGAAUAACUUACCUUGUUGGUUCUUAUGUUUUCAGUAUAGAAUAUCCUCAGGUAAUCUUACUAAGGUAAUGAUUUUCAGUCUUGAUUGUACACUAGAGUCACCUGGGGAUCUUUAAACAUUGACCUCAGCCCAAAUCAGUCAGAAUCUCUGGGUGUAGGACUUACCCGGUGAUUCCACUGAACAACCAAGAGUGAGAACUACUGCUUUAAGGCAUUCUUUCUCAUAAAAUCAAGGUGGAAAGGAUGGGGGAGAGUUUCCUAGUCAACUAAUCCAAUCCCAUUCACAGACAAAAACUGAGGUUUGAAGGUCCCUGAUACUUCUCAGCCGCUCUGUUGUUACGUGGCUCUGGCUGGCCAGUUUCCUUUCAGUUUUCAUUCCAAGGUCAUUCGAAACCCUCACCACCUCCUCAAGGUCCUUCCUCCAUGCCUCUUCCUCUAGCAGAUAUGCCUCCCUCUUUUUUUAUUCUUUUCAAAAGAAAUAAAGGUGACCGAGCACAACCUCCUGUAACUUUCUGUAUUUCUGCAAGCCUCUCUUCCUGCCCUCCAGUUGGAGAAAAGAACUGGCCCUUCUCUUAUUCUGAAUCGUCAAGAAAGACCAAAGGGCUCUUCCAGACCUUGUUGACUUGUGCUUCUUGGGAUCUGGCCACUGUUGGCCACUACCUUCCUCUUUAAACCCUCUCUUCUCACAGCUUUGGAGACAACAUUCUCCUCUUGUUCUUCUAUUCUGGCCAGUCCGUUUUUGUGGGCUCUUCUUCCCAGAUCCACCUUCACAGGGGGAUUCAGGUUUUAUGGAAUUUAUACAAUUUGGGGGCCCUCUUUAAGAAAAAGAUUUUAAAAAAUUAUUAAAAUUAAGUGAAAAGUGAAUAUUCAUUUAGAAGAGCCUUAUGCAAAUGAUUUGCUGUGAAGCCUAGGCUUUAUUAAUGUCAUGAUGAAUCUGCUACACCCUUCCCCAAGAUUCUUUCUUCAGUCCUCCAAACACUCUGCACACACCACACUACUUAGGUAUGCUUUCCCCCCCGCCCCCACAACAUCGACUAUCCCCUCUGUGCUGGUGACUCUCAAAUCCAUAUCUUCCACUUUAACUCUCUCCUGUGCUAUAGCAUAGUGUAUUCAAUUACCCUCCAGAUCGUUCCACUGGAUUUCCCUGCAGUCACAUCAAGCCAGCUUAGUUCAACAAACCCAACUCAUUGUCUUUCCCAUUCAAAUCUCCUUCUCUUCCUUUACCAACUAUCUUUAUUGGUAUGAACCACCAGUGGCCCAGGAAUAGAAAGCCAAAACUCAGUAUUAUUUUUAAAAAAUUAAUUAAUUAGAUUUAGGAGUGCAAGUACAUGUGGAUGUAUUGCAUAUUGGUGAAGUCUGGCCUAUUAGAGUACUCAUUACCCAAAUAGUGUACAUUGUACCCAAAAGAUAGUAUCUCAUCCUACACACCCCUGCCCCUGCCCCUGCCCCAGCCCUCCCACCAUUUGGAGUCUCCAAUGUCUUAUUCCACUCUGUAUGUCCACAUAUACCAAUUGUUUAGCUCCUACAUAUAAGUGAGAACAUGCAGUUUUUGACUUUCUAUUUCUGUAUCAUUUCACUUAGGAUAAUAUCCUCCAAUUCUAUCCAUGUUGCUGCAAAAGACAUGAUUUCAUUCUUUUUUAUGGAUGAGUAGUAUUCCAUGGUAUAUAUACCACGUUUUUAAUCAAAUUAAUUCGUUGAUAAGCAUUUAGGUUGAUUCCAUGACUUUGCUAUUGUGAAUAGUGCUCCUAUGAGCAUACGGGUGUAGGUGUCGUUUUGAUAUAAUAAUUUCUUCUCCUUUGGGCAGAUACUCAGAAGUGGAGAUGCUGGAUUGAAGAGCAGUUCUAUUUUUAGUUCUCUGAGAACUCUUCAUACUGUUUUCCAUAGUGAUUGUACUAAUUUACAUUCCCACCAGUAGCGUUCCCUUUCUCCACGUUCUCACCAACAUCUGUUGUUUUUUGACUUUUUAGUAAUAGUCAUUCUGACUACUCUAAAUGCUAUCUCGUUGUGGUUUUCAUUUGCAUUUCUCUGAUGAUUAUUGAUGUUGAAUAUUUUUUCACAUUUGUUGGCUGCUUGGAUGUCUUCUUUCAAAAAAUGCCUGAUUGCCCAAUAUUAUUCUAGUUGACCUCUUCUCCCUUGCCUCCUGCUGUCUAACUGGUCUGCUUUCUUCCAAUUUGUCCUCCUUCCAGUUCCAUUCUAAACAGCUGAUUGACAUUUCUAAAACACAAAUAUGGUUGUGUCCCUUCUCCUCUUCUAUGGUUCCUCAUUGUUUAUAAGAUAAUGUUCAGGUGCCUGUGGAAGGCACAUGGGCCUUUACAAUUAGACCCCUGCUUUGGUCCUCUGGGGCUUUACUGGCUGCCACUUCCCUGCAUAUGCCUUUCGUGGCCUUUAUGCCCCGCAGUUUAUUCCAGAUCUCUGUACCAUUGCUUACCCUCACCUGACUGUCUAUAUUUCCUCCACAGUGUCCACGUGGGCUAUAUCUACUCAUCUUUUACUACUCAGCUCAAGUUUCACCUCUCCUUAGAGUUUUUUUCUAUGCCCCCAGGUAGUUUUAAAUUUUCACAGCCUCCUUGGUGCUCCUGAAUCUUAAGACAAAUUCUGCCAUAGUGCCUGCUACCUUUCAUUGCGCCUACCUGUAAAGAAUUAAAUGAGUUAUCUCUCUUCGCAGGUGCCAGGCUGAUCUUGGUACAUUUUCAAGUUCAGUGUUAUAUCCAAAGCACACAGACCAAUUUUUUGGUUUUCCCCUCCAAGUAGGGCUAUAAGACAUAUAUGCCAGGGAAUAGAAUAAGCUGGAGCAAAAUUAUAAUUUCAUUGUAGCUGCUCUUUAUACCUGCCAACUCUUUUCUUUUUCUUCACCUUUACCUUUCUUUACUCCUGGAUUCCAAGAACUACUGUGAGUAAAAUUGUUACUGCCACCGCAUAGUUCUUCCAAGAAGGCAAAGGUUAAUAUUCAUGGUAAAAAAUAAAGCCAAAUAUAAGACUGGGGGCUAGCGAUAAUUGCUUGGGUAAAAAUUUGUUGGCCCUCAAUGCCUUAACAUACUGGUAAAAGAAAAAUUAAGACUAGUGGUAUUCUGAGUGUUAAGCUACAAUGAUAAUUUAGAGAUAAUUAGCAUAAAGCAUGAAGGACUCUUUCACCUAUAGCCGUAAUGACCAAUGUAAUAACUGCUAGCCACAUUGGCUAUUUACAUUUAAAUGUAAAUAAUUCAAAAUUAAAUAACAUUAAAAUUUCAGUUCCUUGAUUGCACUAGCCACAUUUCAAAUGCUCAACAGCCACAUGGGAGUGGUGGCUACUGUAUUGGACAGCACAGAUUUUCCGUUAUUUUAAACAUUUCAUCGUUAUAGAAAGUGCUACUCUAGAAGUCUAAUUUAGGAAGAGCAGUCCCUGUUUGAUUGUCUCUCAGACCCAAAGCAAGGGUGGAGGUUCUAAAGAUGACAGAGUGUCCCUAGGAAAAGUGAUGGAUAUAUUUGAAUGAAUUCUUGGUUUGUCAGUUCAGAAUCAGUUGUAACGGCAGAGGUUGGUGCCGGCUGAUAACUAACCCGAGUCUAUUUGUUGGCUCUAGAGAGUACAGCAAAGAGUUCACCAUUGGAGUGUUUUUCUGUUGACAACAACAGGUUUUUGAAUAAGUAUUUCUCUUACUUCUCCUGGGCCUGUACUGCUUGUUAUCUUAUAUCCUCCAGAGUAGGGGUCAUGCAGUGAGCAAAUUCAAAUAUGACUACUCAAAGCAUAGGACUAUUUCCAUGAUCAAUUUCUUACCGUACUAAGAGCAUAUCUCAUCCCUGUGGGUACAGUACAUCUGGUCACCUCUCCUAGAAAACUAGUCUGUGCCGAUUAUACUAUUGGGAGGUUAGCAGAUAGUUUCACAGAAACAAAGCAUGAAUUUUAAGGCUUGUGUUUUUGAAGAUAGUAUCCUCUUUAUUUAAGGGUACAUGGAAGGCCUAGGAGGAACUGUGGGGAGGAUGGCAGCAUUCUGUGCUUCAGGGCCAACCUGGAUCAGAAAUACUUCUGUGUGAUACAAAGGAUACCCAAGGAAAUCUGUUCUCCCUAGAAGUUGAGGUGGGGAGGGUUAUAUACCUGGGAAAAUCAUUGCCUCAUGUAAAAUUCAGGGAGUCUCAGAUCUUGCUUUGUUGUAAUGUGUUGAUUUCCAAUGCUGUUUUUAAUUGUUCAGGAACAUCAUGUUUUUCCUUUAAUAGAUGUCUUAAUUUCUCAGGCAAGAGCCAGGGUACUAUAAAUAAUAAAUAAGCUAGAUUUCCUUAGGUCAUUAGAAGACUGGAGACAAGGGAUUGGGAUGGUUUGCAAAAGGAGGGAAAGCAGUAUAAUACACAAGUGAGGAGUGCUCAGUAUCAGAAAGAUUUAUUAAUAUUCAUUCACUUAUUCCCUCAUGUGUACAUUAUCUGUGGCAUGUCUUCCAGGUACUGUGCAAAGUCAUAGCUAUAACUAUGUUGCACAUUUCACAUAUGUUAUAUGACACUUUAUAACAUACUUGUGAUAUAGAAGUUUUUUAAAAAUAUUGCUUUUAUAGCUGAGGAAAUUGAGGCUCUGAGGGGUUAAAUUACUUGCUUAAGGUCACAGAACUAGUUGGUGGUGAGGCUGAGAUUCAUUCCCAGGUCUGUGACUCCAAACCAUUGCUCUUUUUCUGUCAUGCUCAUGCAGGAAAUUCAGCUCUGUAUUUAUUUUGUUGCAGGUCCUUGUUCCAUGGAUCCAAUGGAAGGCGAGUGUCAGGAUCACACCCUGAAGUGGCAUUACAACAAGGAGGAACGGGUUUGCCAGCAGUUCUGGUGUGGCAGCUGUGGCGGCAAUGCCAACCGGUUUGAAACCAAGGAAGAAUGUGAGGCUUGGUGUGUCCCAAUACAGUAACAGUACAAGCAGAGCCCUGUUACUGUUAAAGGCAGAGCUUUUAAUGCUGAUGAAAUGGAGAUUACCAGGGCUGAGGCAGGACCUCACAGCUCAGAAGUGACAGCCCAUUCCAACACCUUGGACAUCAGAUUCCUAAACGUCUGAAUGUUUUCACGCCAACAAGGACUUGGGCCAGAUGAUUUGUGACUUGAGGACUGAAUUCUAAUAGUUAAAAAAGUAACUGAAAGAUAUUUAAAUGAAUUAGAACGGAAUGAAAAAUAAACUUGAACUUAUAAUAUUAUUUUAAAAUUUGGGGGUGCUAUGUAGCAAAAUAAAAAUCAGUGUAAGCAGUGAGAAAAACCUAAUUCAGAAAUGAAUCGAAACUUGGUUUGUUUUUUUCACCACCAGAGAAUAGGGAAAUAUUAGUCAAAGAGAGGGCAUGGAAGAAGGGACAUCUAAUGUGAACGAACUUCAUACUUACUACUUAAUGUAGAUAAAUAAAGGCAUUCUUUAUUAAAUCA